rnacentral:rRNA from 1 species
AUUGAACGCUGGCGGCAGGCCUAACACAUGCAAGUCGAGCGGAUGAAGGGAGCUUGCUCCUGGAUUCAGCGGCGGACGGGUGAGUAAUGCCUAGGAAUCUGCCUGGUAGUGGGGGAUAACGUCCGGAAACGGGCGCUAAUACCGCAUACGUCCUGAGGGAGAAAGUGGGGGAUCUUCGGACCUCACGCUAUCAGAUGAGCCUAGGUCGGAUUAGCUAGUUGGUGGGGUAAAGGCCUACCAAGGCGACGAUCCGUAACUGGUCUGAGAGGACGAUCAGUCACACUGGAACUGAGACACGGUCCAGACUCCUACGGGAGGCAGCAGUGGGGAAUAUUGGACAAUGGGCGAAAGCCUGAUCCAGCCAUGCCGCGUGUGUGAAGAAGGUCUUCGGAUUGUAAAGCACUUUAAGUUGGGAGCAAGGGCAGUAAGUUAAUACCUUGCUGUUUUGACGUUACCAACAGAAUAAGCACCGGCUAACUUCGUG